GCGGCGAGUGAAGCGGCAAGAGCUCAGAUUUGGAAUCGUGUUUCGGCACGAGUUGUAAAUUGCAGGUUGGAGUCUUUGUGGAAGCGUGUGUCCAAGUCCCUUGGAACAGGGCGCCAUUGAGGGUGAGAGCCCCGUGGGAUGCGCGCGGAAGCAGCAAGGCCCUUCUGACGAGUCGAGUUGUUUGGGAAUGCAGCUCUAAGCGGGUGGUAAAUUCCAUCUAAGGCUAAAUACUGGCGAGAGACCGAUAGCGAACAAGUACUGUGAAGGAAAGAUGAAAAGCACUUUGAAAAGAGAGUGAAACAGCACGUGAAAUUGUUGAAAGGGAAGGGUAUUGGGCCCGACAUGGGGAUUGCGCAUCUCUGCUCCUUGUGGGCGGGGCGCUGUGCUUUCCCUGGGCCAGCAUCGGUUUUUGCCGCAGGAGAAGGGGUACUGGAAUGUGGCUCCUCGGAGUGUUAUAGCCAGUGCCAGAUGCUGCGUGCGGGGACCGAGGGCUGCGACAUCUGUCUCGGAUGCUGGCACAACGGCGCAAUACCGCCCGUCU
rnacentral:rRNA from 1 species